AUCUUUCCUGAUGCAAUGGAACCACUGUACCCAACCAAAAACAAUCAACAGUGGAAAGGGCCUGCACAUCUACAAUGGUGGAAGAUUGCUAAUUUUAAUAUAUACAAAGAGAUUUAAUUUAGAUCUCUUUAAUUUUUAAUUAUUUAUUUACAUCCGAUGAAAAUUCAUAAUUAAUAAGGAUCUACUAGAGAGAUCCUAAUUUGGUUCACCA
rnacentral:lncRNA from 1 species